UACGUAGGGAGCAAGCGUUGUCCGGAAUUACUGGGCGUAAAGCGUGCGUAGGCGGUUUGUUAAGUCUGUCGUGAAAGCCCCGGGCUCAACCUGGGAAUGGCGAUGGAUACUGGCGAGCUAGAGUACGGUAGAGGAGAGUGGAAUUCCCGGUGUAGCAGUGAAAUGCGUAGAGAUCGGGAGGAACAUCAGUUGCGAAGGCGGCUCUCUGGACCAGUACUGACGCUGAGGCACGAAAGCGUGGGGAGCAAACAGG
rnacentral:rRNA from 1 species